UUCGACGAUGACAACAACCAGGACCAAGAAAACAUCAUCGCCAUAAAUUCCCUGACGUCAAUAGCAACUGGCCGUAAUGAGUCAAGAUCAACACCAACAAACACAGGACUGUCAACAGGAUCAUUUCUCGAACCAAGGACAACCUCAUCCGAAGUUAUGUCCGAAGGUCUCGCCUCCCAGCCUAGUACAUCUACAGCAACCC